rnacentral:rRNA from 1 species
AGUGAACGCUGGCGGUAGGCCUAACACAUGCAAGUCGAAGGCAGCACAGUAAGAGCUUGCUCUUACGGGUGGCGAGUGGCGGACGGGUGAGGAAUACAUCGGAAUCUACUUUUUCGUGGGGGAUAACGUAGGGAAACUUACGCUAAUACCGCAUACGACCUACGGGUGAAAGCAGGGGAUCUUCGGACCUUGCGCGAUUGAAUGAGCCGAUGUCGGAUUAGCUAGUUGGCGGGGUAAAGGCCCACCAAGGCGACGAUCCGUAGCUGGUCUGAGAGGAUGAUCAGCCACACUGGAACUGAGACACGGUCCAGACUCCUACGGGAGGCAGCAGUGGGGAAUAUUGGACAAUGGGCGCAAGCCUGAUCCAGCCAUACCGCGUGGGUGAAGAAGGCCUUCGGGUUGUAAAGCCCUUUUGUUGGGAAAGAAAAGCAGCAGGUUAAUACCCCGCUGUUCUGACGGUACCCAAAGAAUAAGCACCGGCUAACUUCGUG